ACGUGUGAGGUGUUUUGACAGUGACAAUUAAUUAAUUUCGAUGAUUGAAAUAUUUGUUACCUGCUGAGCAUUAUAAACUAAAAUCUAGAAUAUAAGCUUUAAAUGUUGUUUCUUUUUCUUACAGAGAGAAACACAAUUGAGUUUUUUAUUCACCAAAAGUUUGAUGGUUAAAAACAUUAUUACA
rnacentral:lncRNA from 1 species